GACCCCUACGGGACGCAGCAGUGAGGAAUAUUGGUCAAUGGGCUUACGCCUGAACCAGCCAAGUCGCGUGAGGGAAGACUGCCCUAUGGGUUGUAAACCUCUUUUGUCAGGGAGCAACGCCGGCUACGUGUAGCCGGACUGAGAGUACCUGAAGAAGAAGCCCCGGCUAACUACGUGCCAGCAGCCGCGGUAAUACGUAGGGGGCAAGCGUUAUCCGGAUUUACUGGGUGUAAAGGGAGCGUAGGUGGCAUGGCAAGCCAGAAGUGAAAACCCGGGGCUUAACCCCGCGGAUUGCUUUUGGAACU
rnacentral:rRNA from 1 species